rnacentral:rRNA from 1 species
UACGGAGGGAGCUAGCGUUGUUCGGAAUUACUGGGCGUAAAGCGCGCGCAGGCGGCCUCCUAAGUCCGAUGUGAAAGCCCACGGCUCAACCGUGGAGGGUCAUUGGAAACUGGGGGGACUUUGAGUGCAGGAGAGAAGAGUGGAAUUCCACGUGUAGCGGUGAAAUGCGUAGAGAUGUGGAGGAACACCAGUGGCGAAGGCGACUCUUUGGCCUGUAACUGACGCUGAGGCGCGAAAAGCGUGGGGAGCAAACAGG